rnacentral:rRNA from 1 species
CAAUAGCGUAUAUUAAAGUUGUUGCAGUUAAAAAGCUCGUAGUUGGAUUUGUGGCGUACGGUGUGUUCCGGGCACUUGUUGUCUGAGUACCCUGCUGUUGCCAUCCUUGGGUGGAACCUGUGUGGCAUUAGGUUGUCGUGCAGGGGAUGCCCAUCAUUUACUGUGAAAAAAUUAGAGUGUUCAAAGCAGGCUUAUGCCGUUGAAUAUAUUAGCAUGGAAUAAUGAGAUAGGACUUUUUUGCUAUUUUGUUGGUUUGCGCAAAGAGGUAAUGAUUAAUAGGGACAGUUGGGGGUAUUCGUAUUCCAUUGUCAGAGGUGAAAUUCUUGGAUUUUUGGAAGACGAACUACUGCGAAAGCAUUUACCAAGGAUGUUUUCAUUAA